rnacentral:rRNA from 1 species
UCUCAAAGAAUUUAAUUUUGAGUAAAAUCUGCCCCCUGUUUAUAUAAAGAGCCGCAGAACUUUUACUGUGCUAAGGUAGCAUAAUCACUUGUUUCUUAAUUAGAGACUAGCAUGAAAGAUUUAACAUUUUAAUUACUUUUUUGUAAAACUUAAUUUAAAUUAUAUUAGCUAUAAAAAUAUAUCUAUAUAUUAAAUAGACGACAAGACCCUAUUGAACUUCACUUUUGUUCAGCUGGGGCAGCUAAUUAAAUUUUACUUUAAUUUAUAAAUUUUUAUAAACUGACCUAAUAAAAUUAAUUUUUUGACCAAGUUACCAUAGGGAUAACAGCGUAAUUUCUUUCUAAAGCUCUUAUUUAAAAAGAAGUUUACGACCUCGAUGUUGAAUUAUUUAUCUAUAUUACGCAAUAGUUUUAAAAGAAGGUCUGUUCGACCUUUAAAUUUUUACA